UCCGAUAUAGUGUAACGGUUAUCAUACAGCGCUUUCACUUUGGGAGCUUCCGCUGGGACCCGGGUUCGACUCCCGGUAUCGGAA
rnacentral:tRNA from 1 species